GCGGGGGAUAACUAUUGGAAACGAUAGCUAAUACCGCAUAACAGCAGUUGUUGCAUGACAACUGUUUAAAAGGUGCAAUUGCAUCACUACCAGAUGGACCUGCGUUGUAUUAGCUAGUUGGUGGGGUAACGGCUCACCAAGGCGACGAUACAUAGCCGACCUGAGAGGGUGAUCGGCCACACUGGGACUGAGACACGGCCCAG
rnacentral:rRNA from 1 species